ACAAAGCCAGAACCCAACCAGGGCUAACACUCCAAGUGAACCAGCACUAAGGCUGAAUCAUUUGAAUUAUUGUCCUGAGUUCCUUUGUCCCAAGGAAAAGCAUGGAUCCCAUUGCUGUUGUACAGGGUUGAAUAUUAAAGGAGGAGCUUCAGAGAAUCAAGCCUUAAACGAGAAGUCUGCAAAGUGUGGCUGGAACAAUGAGAUAGCAGAGCUGUAAGACAUAGCAGCCCAGAUCCCUGAGUCACUAUAGGAGAGCUCCAAGGAGAAGUGACUCACUGACACACUCAGCAAAUAUACUCCGUGUCCACUGAGCAAAAUGCACUUCCUAUGUAAGCUAAAGAGAGAAACCCAUAG
rnacentral:lncRNA from 1 species